UAAUCCAUUUCAUGGUUGUUUGUGUAUUCUAAAGAUGUAGAUCAGGAUAGUCUGAGCCAGAAACCUCUGAAAUGAGUAACAGGGCAAGGAAGAGAUGAGGAUGAGAGCUGUGGGAAAGAACAGGAGGCUUGUCCUCUACACAUCCUCAGUUGCAGAUCUGAAUGCUUCCAAGUGUCCAAACCUCCAACAUCUGAAAGAUCGUUUGCACGGUGUGGGCCUGCAAUACCUGAUGGAACGCCUCUCCCGCUAUGAACCUACCCGUGCACUUCGUUCGACAUCUAAGGCCCUCCUCCGAGUACCGACUCAUCGAGAAGCUCGGAGGGUAAUGACAAGAUCCAGGGCCUUUUCGGUGGUGGCCCCCGAAUUGUGGAACAGUCUCCCCGAGGAGGUACGCCUGGCGCCUACGUUGUUAUCCUUUUGGCGCCAGGCUAAAACCUUCCUAUUCUCCCAGGCAUUUUAAUGCAUUUUAUAUAUUUUAAUGUUUUAAUGUUUUAGUUAUCUCAAUACUGUUUAGUGUUAUUAUGUAUCUGUAUUU